rnacentral:rRNA from 1 species
GACGAACGCUGGCGGCGUGCUUAACACAUGCAAGUCGAACGGAAAGGCCCUGCUUUUGUGGGGUUCUCGAGUGGCGAACGGGUGAGUAACACGUGAGUAACCUGCCCUUGACUUUGGGAUAACUUCAGGAAACUGGGGCUAAUACCGGAUAGGAGCUCCUGCUGCAUGGUGGGGGUUGGAAAGUUUCGGCGGUUGGGGAUGGACUCGCGGCUUAUCAGCUUGUUGGUGGGGUAGUGGCUUACCAAGGCUUUGACGGGUAGCAGGCCUGAGAGGGUGACCGGCCACCUUGGGACUGAGGUACGGCACAGACUCCUACGGGAGGCAGCAGUGGGGAAUAUUGCACGAGGGGCGGAAGGCUGGUGCAGCAACGCCGCGUGCGGGAUGACGGCCUUCGGGUUGUAAACCGCUUUCGCCUGUGACGAAGCGUGAGUGAAGGUAAUGGGUAAAGAAGCACCGGCUAACUACGUG